CGCUUUUUUCGCCCAAGCGGAGCUCGACCGCAAGCUCAAGUCCUGAAUGCCUAUAUCGACCAGCACCGGGAUAGCUACGGGGUCGAGCCGAUCUGCAAGGUGUUGCAGAUUGCCCCA
rfam:Gammaproteobacteria bacterium SG8_47 WOR_8-12_8631, whole genome shotgun sequence.